GCCCCAGAAUUCAGGGGAGGCAGCUUAGCAAAAAGGGUGAGCGGCGAGGGGACUCGGCCCCUCCUAGCGGCCCGGGCUGAACGCUCCUGCUUUGUCUUAGGACGGGCGGCAGUUCCAAGCCCAGGGCGCUCGCGACACGAGGACCCGGCCUCAGGCCUGCACGUCCGCUCGCCGGGCGGUCACUGCGCGGCCGGGGACGCCGCUCUGGCUUGCCCCUUGCCUACCUAGAGAACAAAACUCAACUCGACUCUAUUUUAAAAAUGUUCAGUUGUCCUUUCCAUUGGCUGUACCCGUGGCCAUUGAGAGCCACAGCGCAGCGCGGCAGCCCUCCCGGGGCCUCCCCUGUGCCGGCAACCCCAAUCUCUCCGCCAGCCAGCCCCCCGGGCGUCCACACAGGUCGGGGAGCCGCACGGUGAUACGGCUCCUUCCCAGUACUCAGGUCUGCGCCUUCCUGCCACGAAGGAAGGUGCACUCCACCCCGUGCACCCACGCACACAUGCACUGCACUUCCUGUCCCUCGCCCUUCCACUCGGUGGUCAUUAUGUCCCUGAGGGGAAUAGGCUGUGUUCUCCUCGCGUUGCCUGGGGUCCAGGAUGACUCAGUUUGAUCAUUUGUUUUGGCUUCCGUGCAUUUGCACGACUGCAAGCCCACACUCUCCCCGCGCUGUGCACACACCACUUCUAAGUCAGUUUUCUGGGCGCAGGCUCCCCUGGAACCGUGGUCGCUGUCCGGUGUGGGGUGGGUGCUGGUGGCGGCCACGGAGACUCCCCACACCCGCUGACCUCCCCCCGCCUGGCCUUGCCCGGUGGCCUCUGUCCCGCUCCUCGGUCUCUUCUGGCUGAAUUGGCUCCUGGGCCUUCGGUGGAGCACGUGCUCGAGGAAUUCUUGAGAAAGGGGCCGAGGUGGCCAAGUGGGAGGGGCUUGCAGUUCUGAAACCAUCGUUGUUUGACACAGUUUGGGCUUAGAGUCCCGGGUUGGAAAUCGUGCUCAGGGUUCCCAUGGCACUGCUGGGGCUCCCCCAGCUUCUGGGACUGUCGCUGGGAGCCUCUGUGCCAUUGUGACACUUGGUCCUGCCUGGGAGACCUUCCUGUGCUCUCCCCGAAACUUCUCAACUGUCACACGGUGUGUCUCUUUAUGGUUCUCCUCUCACGCCAGGGCCGCACGUUCCUGGAGACGCUUAUGCCCAAGUCUCAGAUUUCCUCAGCUCCCUUGUCCUGCUUCCUCUUUCUUAAUCGCUUUGCCCUCCCCUGCCCCCCCCCCCCCACUUUGGGGAAUAGGGCUUCCCCAAAAGUGGUGAUCUUUGACAGCUCAGAUCUAAGAUGAGAUAGUGAAAACAUGUUUAUGAACUGUGUGCGCACAUGUACAUGCGUUUAUGCACAUAUGUGAGUGUGCAUGCAUGCGCGUGUGAGUGCAUGUGUGUGCAUGUGUGCACACAUGUGCUUGCAUUUUGGAGGGUGGGUGAAGUUGCCAGAUUUAACAAAUAAAAAUACAAGAAAGCCCAGUUAAACGUGGAUUUCAGGUGAAACCAAAAAUUUUUUCGUUGUCUUUCUGAAAUCCACGUUUCACUGGGCUCCUGUGUUUCAUCUGCCGCCCGAGGCCGGAGGUGCUUCCUCACUGUUUGGGCCUUGGCGCUGUGUGGGCGGAUGCAGGUCUUUGCUUUCAGGCUUUUGCAGGCUGCAGCCUGGAGGUAAGUGUGGCACCAGCGCUGGCGACCCCGCCGGGAGGAAGGCUGCAGCCCUCCCCAUGGAGAGCUUGUUCACUCCCUGGUGCUCCUUGCCGCCCGCGCCCUCUGUCCUGGAGCCUGAGACCCUCGGUUUUGCCCUCUCCAAGGAAUAAAACAUCUGCUCAGCUAGGGCGGAGGAGGGCGGAGGAGGGCACACGGAGAGCUCAGUGCUUCUCUCAGGACUAGCAUCCACUCCUGGCGUCUGCGGUCCCUUCCCCACCUCUGGAGCGGCGUGCACCUGCUCGUGGCAGCCUCUGGGCCUUCCCGGGUGGGCCGGCUUGCUCCCGACUCCUGGCCGCGCAUUGGGCUUUCCUGGGUCUGUAACGUCAGUUCACUUGCCCGUCCCUCGUCCUUGUUGUGGCCUCUUCUGGUUCUCUCUGUCUGUGGGGACCUCGGCCAUUAUCUGCUGCCAUCCGUGCUGGGCUCUGUUCUGUCGUCUGACGGGAGUGCACCCCAAUUUCAUUUCUAAGGUGAUCUGCCCCUUCCGACGAGUGCGGGUCUCCACCAAACAGUAGUAACGGUGGCCACUCAUCAUAUAAAAACUGCCGUUUGGUGCCAGGCUCCGUCCUGGGCAUUGGCACAUGCUCCAGAUGGCUUUGCUUCACGCAGCCGCUCUGGGCGAUGCGCCUGGGUCUCUAGUUUUUAGCUAAGAAGAGUGGCCUCCGCGAGCUAGUGGCUUCAGUCGCAGCCUGGGUCCCACAGCAAGUGGGCAGAGGCCAGUCCACACCCUGGCCUCUGACAUGGUGCCUCUGUUUGGAGCGCUGGGAUUCUUUCCUCUUAGUAACUCCAGCUGCCAGAGCUGGGUGUGUGCUCUGGGGGGACGGGGUGGACUGGGAGCACCCCCUCGACCAGUUAGGCAGGGGUCUCUGGCCUGAGGCCCCUCCUGGCCACUCGCUCCUGCGGGGGCCAGCUCAGAGCAUCCCGAAAGCUGCCCCCACUUGCCUGCCUGCCUUUGUGUGUCUCUUUAUUGAAUUUUUAAGGGGAAGUCUAGAUGCUUUUUUUUUUUUUUUUUUUAAUAAGAUUUGUAUCUUCUCACUGUUUGGGUACCACCAAAUGGGUUGGAGCUAUUAAAAAAAAAAAAAAACCCUCUCUCGACCAUAGCUUUCAUGUACACGAUGGACAAGACUGAUUUUAAAGAUUGAGUAGGUGAUUUUUAUGUUGUGUGCACUUAGUAUAAACAAACGGAACAGUCUGAACAAACCCGAGUGCCCUUUUGUUCUCUAUUUAUGUCUAAUACUGACGGUUUUGUGGAAAAGCUACGUUUUUACGAUUCUGAGGUACCUACUUCUUUUCCCCUGGGGAAAAUUUAACUGCGUCUUAUUUAUUGCACUGGGUAUUAACACUCAUAGUUUAUUAAGGCAUUUUCUCCAGGGCUCGUUGAGCCUGAGGCGUUGGGAACGGAUGCUCUGGUGUGUGGAAGGAGGUUAUAUUAAAGUCCAGCCAUGCACAGCAGGGAACAGAAUAGGACCCCUGAAUUCCAGGGGGAGGCAAUCACUCCCGGACCUCACGGAUCCAUCCGGACAGGUCUCACCUUCCCAAGCCUACAAGUUUUUGCCUAAGCCACUUGAAGAGUGAGGUGGGACUCAGCGCUGUUUCUUUUCUGGUCUUUGCUCUGCUGGAAGCAUCCGGGCAGCCCGGGGCCAAGCUGAGGCUCAGAGUGUGGGAAGACCAGCCACCCCCGUGUGGUGUUUAGAAGGGGCAGUGCUGGAAGGAGGGCCAAGCCACUGCUCGUCCCUGCGGGUGGGAUACCCACGGUGGGGUGUGUGUGUGUGUGUGUCAGUUCCACACUCAUCAUAAGGCUUCUCUCUGACCUGAGCCAGGCCCUCAGGGAUCUGGGGGUGGGUCACCAUCAGGGACUGCUGUAUCAGGCUGGUCCUCUUGGGAAGUGGCCAGGACCCCCAGUCCUGGUGUCCAGGGCAGUGGUGAGAGCCGACCCAGUGUGGCUGUUGUUUCAACAGCAGGAGACCCUGGGGAGCGGGUCAAGUGGUCAUUUGGGGGCAUGGGUGGAUUCUGAGCUCUUUUGAAUCUGAAGCAAGACCCCAGACAGUGGCAUGGAUGGUCAUGGGUGCAAGGCAUGCACCUCCAUCUGGAGUUGGAGGGCUUGGCUGGGUGAAGGGCACCCUCCUCUGUGGCUCGGGGGUGAUACUCCAUUGGAGCUGAGUGAGUCCUGAUCCCUGGGCACUUUGGGCUUGGAGGAAGCCUAGGCUGGCUCUGGAGUCAGCUUCAAUUGCAUUUCUGGCAACAUCAGUCCAGGGAAACAAGGGAGGGGCAGGCUGGGCUCAAGAGCUCUGGCAGGGUGUCCUAAUGACUACAUCUUGGAGAGGGUCCCAUUGUCCGGGUCGGUGACCACCCUAUCUGGGUGUUGGGCCCCAGGCACCCACCUCCGCUAGGCAGUGGGUGGGCAGCUGCUUUGGGUAGUUGUGGGUGAGCAGUGGACUGUGGGACCAUGCCCCACCCUUUGCUCUAAGCCCAGCUGCUGUGCAGGUGCUGCCGUGCUGUGCAUCGUGGCCCCACACGCAGGCAUCCUAAUACUCAGAACAUGAGAACAUGACUCAGUUUGGAAAGAGCCUCUCUGCACAUGUAAUUAAGUUAAGGAUCUUCAGAUGGGAUCAUGUUGGAUUCCAUCUGGGAUCAUCUGGGUGGCCCUAAAUUCAGUGAUAAAUGUCCUGAUAAGGGGCAGAAGAGACACGAACACACAGAGGAGAUGGUGAUGCGAAGACAGUCCCAGAGAUUGAAGAUUCGCUGCCACAGCCCAGGAAUGCCAACAACUGCCAGGAGCGGGGAGAGACCAGGAAGGACCCUUCUCUAAGGCUUCUAGGGGGACCCGGCUGACACCCUGAUUUCAGACUUCCGGUUUCCAGAGUCGUGAGAGAAUACAUUUCCAUUGUUUUAAGCCACCAGUUUAUGGUACUUUGUUACGGCAGCCCCAGGACACUAAUGCAAAAGGCAAGAGAGGAAUCUAGAGUGAUGCUAUGUGGAGGCCACAUGGUGGCUGUGCUGGUGGUGGUGGGACUGUGUAUGCAUGUGCGUAAAUGUAUGUGUGCAUGUAUAUGUGUGCAAUUGCACACACACAUGUGUCUAUACGUGCAAGAGUGUGCGUGUGCACCUGCAGGGAGUGGGGAUUCCGGUUCCAGGGCAUCUGAGCGAUUUACAGGCAGGUUGGUGCCUCUGCAGUGGUGUUGGUUUCAAAAGGCGUGGCUGUGGCUGCAGAUGAGAUGUCCGGCAGCAGGCAAUGGGCCACAGCUCGCAGCCCACCUGGGCUUCCUACAGCCAUGCUGCUGAGCCAGGCGUCCUCCCCCACCACUCCCUGAACCUCUGGAGUCCUCGGCCAAGACUCAUGGCCAUGGGAUCCCAGAGGAGGUCCUAUGCAGCCUUGUUUCAUCUGAGGCCUGGCAGAGAGGCUUAGGAUUCUUCCAUUCUGUGCGAUUUGUGUGCCGGUUCCUGUUGGCGUUACGUCAGGGCCACAGAUGCAGGGACCUUGAUUGUGGGCAGAUCUGGAGAGGAGAUAAUGCCUGACACGGGGAUCCCAUAUUCCGUCUUUGAGGAGGGGGCCGUCAUGUGGGAAUUGGGACCAAGGGAGAAACAGCACAGCUUGAGGGGCUCAAGUCACCCACCGGACACCAAAGGGACAGAAGGAAGGAAGGCAGCUGUGCCCGGUCGGCCUGGCCCGUGCCCGGGAGCCCGCGGCGAGGCCUGGGGGUGCUCUCCGUGGUGCUGAAGCCUGCGGCUGCCUCCCCAACCACUUGGCUUUCCCUGCCCUCGUCCCCUGUGUGUACAUCCAGGGCCAAACCAAGGACAGCUGACAUUGAGGGAGACCGACGACAGCAUGGGCGCCCAGUGUGAAGAUCACGGACAGAACAACUGGCUCCGAGAAAGGUAGACACAGCCCAGGGAAAGUCAAAAUGUUUACAUUAAAUUAUAGGGCAGCCCUGGUGGCGCAGCAGUUUGGCGCCGCCUGCAGCCUGGGGUAUGAUCCUGGAGACCCGGGAUUGAGUCCCACGUCGGGCUCCCUGCAUGGAGCCUGCUUCUCCCUCUGCCUGUGUCUCUGCCUCUCUCUCUCUGUGUCA
rnacentral:lncRNA from 1 species